CUCCUCUCACAACUGAGCCACCUGUCUGAAGAGCUCAUCCAGCUGAGCACACUUGCACCCAUGAUACAGAUAUUCAAAACCACCUGGAUGCCAUCCUGCACCAGGUGCUCUAGGUGAUCUUGCUCGGCAGGGGUGUUGGACAAAACGAUCUUCAGAGGUCCCUUGCAACUUUGGCCAUUUUGUGAUUCUGUGAGGCACCUGCCUGGGGAGGUUGCACCCCCCUAGCCUGGGUUUCAGCCGCAGACCGGCAACCUCGGCGGGCGGACGCCGUUUCUUCAGCAGCAAACCCUUCCCACAACACAAACAUGACCGAGCCUGCUCCCGGUCGCUCCCACACACGAGGAGCUGCCUUUGUAGGACAGAGGGAGGCGCUCCUGGCUUCCCCCCAAGCCUUGUCGGCCGCCUUCGAGAGGGCUGCCGGGGCCUGGCGGCUCCCUCGAGGAGCCUACAUGUAGGAAAUCCUCCCCCCUGCCCGCCGCCAUUCCCCGCUCCUCGGGAGGACGCCUCCGCCCCUGAACCGAUCUCCUCAGUGACUGCAAAAUGGUGGCGCUUAUCCCUCUGCUGUUAGCAUUGCCCAAGGGUUGCUCCUGCUCAUCUUGACUACAGACGAAGCUUCCUUCCGAAGCGGGCAGAGUGUGGCUCCUCUCUUCUUUCCUGGCCAUCGCUCAGGCUGUCCCAGAGGCUGGAAGAUGGGGUAAAACAUACUACAACUUCACACCCGUCCCUGGGCUUUGAAAAGGCCUUGUGUCAGCUCUUCUGUGUGGCUCUUAAUAUAGGACUUAACAGCACAAAAUGUAAAUCCUUACCGUGCUUUCCAUUGUCAAAUAAUUUGCUUGUUGACAUGUUUGGUUGUUUAUUUAAUGAGCCAGGGCAAGCCCUCUGCUGAUGUCUUUCACCACAAGCUGAUUGGAAAUAAAGCUGCUGAAGUGGUGUGGUGAGCUAUUAAACCUGUAAUUUUGGUAGUGGCCAGCUGGCCACAGAAGACACUGCUGGCAAGCAGCAAAGAUUUCUUAGUUCAAUGUGAUUUCCAAUCUUCUGAAAUCCAGCAUAGAUAGAUAACCCACAAUAGAGCAUUAUAUUUCCACAGCCUGAUUUGAUUUCAUUUUUACGUACACAUCAAAAUGUGAAGAAUGCAGCACAGAAGAGACCAAGCGGAGUGUCCCAAGGGAAAUGUCUUGUCCACAGAGGGCUGUAGGAACAGGAUGGACAGGGUCUUGGAAACUGUUUCUCUUGUGGAUACCUUCAACCAAGCCUCAACGUACACUUGUUAUAGAAUAAACAGGAUAAAGUCACAUCAUCAUUUUCAUUAUGUCCACUUAGCUAAAAGAUGCGUUAACCAUUCUGUGUCGUGUCUUGUCAUGUUUAUGGCCAGAGGAGCAGGUUCAGGGUCUUUCAGAGGUCUGUCCUUUCAGACAGCUUUCCAGAUACGCCUGAUAAGCCAACCAUGCAGAUUGGAGCCCAAGAAUUUAAUUCUUUAGGAUACAAAACAUUUCAUCUAGGACCCCUAAAGUCUUCUGGGCCAUUUUGGUCUUACAAGCUGGUUCUUGUAGAAUUCGGUACCGCGUAUACUAAAGAAUCACAAUACUUCCAUUUUCAUGUUCUGUGGUCCCAUGGCUGCUAGAUAUUUCAGAUCAUUGCAUUAAUGUGCAUUUACGGGGUGGGGAGGUUGUAUCUUCUGAUAACUGCUUUGCUAAUUUGCUAAUACCUCUUUCCCCAGAACGGUAAUGAACCCACAGCAAGACUGACCUUAAGGCUGUGCAGGAGGGAAGAGCUUAUAGCCUUAGGAGCAUCAUAUAUCGUGAAAGCUUUUUUAAAGUAAAAAGAGGUGGGAGUGUGUGUGUGCAGAUGUACGUGUAGAUGGGCCCUACCAGUACAGACUGACUGCUGUAGCAGCUGUCUGCUGAUGCUGUGAGCAAGCAGCCUAAGAUGAGCAGACAAGUAAUGUUUCACACGUUUUAAACGUGCUGUUUCUCUUAUGCUGGUUGUUUUUAAGAAUGUUAGUUCAGCUCAAUUUGAUGGAAGAAAAUGAAUAGUUUUACAGCAAAGGGGCUCAGGUUUAAAAGUUCUAUGAAAAUUAAAUUCUGUGUGAUGUUAGUCCAUCCCAGAAAAAUGAGGCUUGUCCUCCAUUAGUGCACUCAAAUAUAUAGGUAUGUACCUCUGCUAAUUUCCACAAACAUGCAUGAUGCAGGGGAACACAGGACAGAUUCUUGAGCUCUUGCUAACCCAGGUUGGCAAGUCUUCAAGGAGCACAAGCGUGGGUGAGUAAUGCCAACUCAGAUCUACAGGCAGAACAGCACUGUUCAUGCGGCGUUGUGCCCAGCUUAAUAAGUAAUAUGGUGCACGUACUCUGAACUUCACAGCGUUCCUAAAAUAGUCUGGAUGGAACCAAUUUCUCAGUGGGUUUCUCUGUUCUUGUGAUGUAAGAUGCCCAUGGGCAAGUAAACUUCCUUCAAAGAUCUGUUUUUGGACUUUGAUGUCUCCUGCUUUGGGAAGUGACUAGUGCUAGCUCUCUGAAAGCAGCUGGGACUGUUUAGCCUCAAGAAGAGAAAGCUCGGGGGAAUUUUAUCAGCAUGUUGCCUGAAGAGAGAGAGUAAAAAUGAUGGAGCCGGACUCUUCUGGGUGGUAGCCAGUCACAGGACAAGAGGCACUGGACACAAAUUGAAAUACUGGAAAUUCAGUUUAAACAUGAGAAAAAACUUUUUUAUUGUGAAAGUCACCAAACACUGGAGCUUUCCUAGGUGGGCUGUGGAGUCUCCAUCCCUGGAGACAUUUAAAACCCGACUGGACAUGGCCAUGGCCUGCUGUAGCUCAUCCUGCCUUGUGCAGGGAUUUGGACUGGACAACUUCCAGAGGUCACUUCCAAACCGCGGCUGUUCUGUGGUUUUGUGAUUUACGAAUCUUAUCCAUGGUGAAACGCAGCGGAACUGAGUGUCCUAGACUUUUAAAUGGCUUUUGAAGAUGAGACUCGGGCUCCUCAAUCAGAUACAAUGCUGAGUGGAGGAGUAAUGUAAUACUGUGAAAAAAAUUGCCUGAGUUCCGAGCACCUUUCAAAAGCUUACACGUAAAUAUAUAGGUCUAGUGCUUGAUAUGGAACACUUCAAAACUUUGUAGUGUGCUUUUAAAUCCCCCAAAUACUUCCACCUAUACAACAAUUAAGUAACACUUAAAAAUAACCUUGUUUCUUUUUGUUAAAUUUUGAAUCCUAGAUAAAACAACAAAAUAACACGGUUGUGUUCCCUUCCCUGAUUAUUAAAUACAGAAUGUGAAAUACUAUUGAUGAAGAGUUCAUUGCCUAAAAGGUUACUUUCCUAAAAAUGAAAAGGAACCAAGCAACGUUUGCUGUGCCAAGGCUCAUUUCUUCUGCCUACCAGGGACAAUAAGCAUGCCAUUUGAAAGGCUUUCUCUAGCAUCCUGCAGAGCCCACUCUUUUCAGAUCAGAAGUCUCAAGAGGAUUACCCAGCACGUCUCCCAGCCUUAGGACACAUGCAGCUCUGAACAUGGGGGAAAGUGGUAUGUACGCAGUACGUUUCUUUUUUCUGGA